rnacentral:rRNA from 1 species
GAUGAACGCUGGCGGCGUGCCUAAUACAUGCAAGUCGAGCGCACGGACGAGAAGCUUGUUUCUCUGAUGUUAGCGGCGGACGGGUGAGUAACACGUGGAUAACCUACCUAUAAGACUGGGAUAACUUCUGGAAACCGGAGCUAAUACCGGAUAAUAACUUGAACCACAUGGUUCAAAAGUGAAAGAUGGUCUUGCAUUAACUAAUAGAUGGAUCCGGGCUGCUUUAGCUAGUUGGUAAGGUAACGGCUUACAAAGGCAACGAUGCAUAGCCAACCUGGGAGGUGGUUCGCCCCAACGGGAACGAGACCACGGCCCAAACUCCUAGGGAGGGCGCCAGUAGGGAACCUUCCGCAUGGGGGGAAGGCCUGCCGGAGCAACGCCGCGGGAGUGAUGAAGUUCUUCGGAUCUUAAACCUCUGUUAUUGGGGAAGACCAUAUGGGUAAUUAACUGUGCACAUCUUGACGGUACCUAAUCAGAAAGCCACGGCUAACUACGUG